rnacentral:rRNA from 1 species
GGCAAACGGGUGAGUAACACGUGGGUGACCUGCCUUUCGAGCGGGGGAUAACGUCCCGAAAGGGACGCUAAUACCGCAUAACAUCCUGCCUUUGAAGAGGUGGAGAUCAAAGCUGGGGAUCGCAAGACCCGGCACUUGAAGAGGGGCCCGCGUCUGAUUAGCUAGUUGGUGGGGUAAUGGCCUACCAAGGCAACGAUCAGUAUCCGGCCUGAGAGGGCGGACGGACACACUGGGACUGAGACACGGCCCAGACUCCUACGGGAGGCAGCAGUGGGGAAUUGUUCGCAAUGGGCGCAAGCCUGACGACGCAACGCCGCGUGGAGGAUGAAGAUUUUCGGAUCGUAAACUCCUGUCGAAUGGGACGAACAGAUUGCGGGUUAACAGCCCGUAGUCCUGACGGUACCGUUAAAGGAAACCCCGGCUAACUCCGUGCCAGCAGCCGCGGUAAUACGGGGGGGGUAAGCGUUGUUCGGAAUUACCGGGCGUAAAGGGCUCGUAGGCGGCCAACUAAGUCAUACGUGAAAUCCCUCAGCUUAACUGGGGAACUGCGUGUGAUACUGGAUGGCUUGGAUUUGGGAGAGGGAUGCGGAAUUCCAGGUGUAGCGGUGAAAUGCGUAGAUAUCUGGAGGAACACCGGUGGCGAAGGCGGCAUCCUGGACCAAUAUUGACGCUGAGGAGCGAAAGCCAGGGGAGCAAACGGGAUUAGAUACCCCGGUAGUCC